CAUGACUCAAAAUAUGGCCAGAUGCAUCUCCUGGCUUUUAUUUUUUGAACUCAACCCCAUUUCCAAAGAGGGAGUCCCAUGGAGCCCAUCAAACAACGCAGGACUGUUUCAGGUGGAUUUCACCUUUAAAGUGUAGAGAAAUUGAGACUUGUGAUGCUGAGGAGGAGUCAACUUUACUGCUCUCCCUGCACAGUUGAAG
rnacentral:lncRNA from 11 species